AACACCAAGUUGAAAAUGUGCGCUACAGUAAACACGGUUGUUCGUUAGGGGAUAAGAAUCCCCCGCUUUCCUAUUCACACUUUUUCAUCACUUUUAUCCAUGGCGAUAACCUCAGCUGCUGCAGCAGUCCCAGCACUGUCCUCCCUCGCCCAUCGAGCUCCAAUUCCUUCCAUUUCCUUCCUCUUCCCCGGCUCCACCAGACCCUUUUCUCUUUCCCGCUCAUUCCGCUCUUUUUCCCUCACUCCCCAAGCUAAAGCCUCAGACAUCGAAAUCUCCUUUUUCGACGACCUCAACCCCGAAGACGAAGCUGUCGCCUUUGACCCGCCAACACCCCCAGAAGGGUUCAUCCCUCCACCUGCUUUCGACGAUGGCCCCGAGGAAACCGAGGACGAAGUCGCCGCUGCCUAUGAGGAACUCUACGGCCCAGCCUACAGUGGGGUCUCCGUUCUAGGCAACGAUGUUUAUGUAAUGGACUCUAAAGUGAAGAAAACGAGUGCGUUUGGGAAAGUUACGAAAGAAAAGGUGAGGGAUGGGUUUGAGGAAAGAGUGGUUCAAGUUAGAAGAGUGACUAAAGUGGUUAAAGGUGGGAAACAACUUCAUUUCAGGGCCAUUGUUGUGGUUGGUGAUAAGCAAGGGCAAGUUGGGGUUGGAGUUGGGAAAGCUAAGGAAGUCAUUGCUGCCGUUCAGAAAUCGGCUGUGAAUGCUCGGAGGAAUCUCAUUACUAUACCUAUGACAAAGUAUUUGACUUUCCCACACCGAUCCGAGGGUGACUAUGGGGCAGCUAAGGUGAUGCUUAGACCUGCCGCACCUGGUACUGGAGUGAUUGCAGGAGGUGCUGUGCGAAUUGUUCUUGAAAUGGCAGGUGUGGAGAAUGCUUUGGGCAAACAAAUUGGAAGUAAAAAUGCCCUUAACAAUGCCAGAGCUACAGUUGUUGCUGUGCAGAAAAUGAAACAGUUCCGGGAGGUUGCUCAAGAACGAGGAAUCCCCAUGGAAGAGUUGUGGAAGUGAUGGCCUUGGAAGCGUGCUUCAUCUUUUCACCUCAUGUUUUUCUGGGAAUGGAGAUUUACGCAAGGCUUCGGUAAUGUAUAUCUAACAUGAGCCAAGCUAAACUGGAAGAUUGGCAUCGCAGACUCUGUUCAAUGGUAAAACCGGAAGCCGUUAGCUGAAGCAUAGCCACCAUUAGCAUGUCUAGAUCAAUUCCUUAAAAAUAAGAGUAAGCGGCAAUUUGCUUUAUUCUCUGCCUUAAUAGCUUCUGCUGAGCUUAUCACAAUUUAUAUUUGAGAACUGAAUUGACCCCUAAAUUUUUAAAAUCUGUUUCAAUUGCUGUUAGUUUGAGUUCCAAA